rnacentral:rRNA from 1 species
CAAUAACGUAUAUUAAAGUUAAUGCGUUUAAAAAACUCGCAGUUGGAUUUCUGCCAGGGGCGACGGGUCCGCCCUCUGAGUGUAUUUGGCUCGGCCUGGGCAUCUUCUUGGAGAACGUAGCUGCACUUGAUUGUGUGGUGCGGUAUCCAAGAUUUUUGCUUUGAAGAAAUUAGAUUGUUUCAAGCAGGCACACGCCUUGAAUACAUUAGCAUGGAAUACUAAGAUAGGACCUCGGUUCAAUUUUGUUGGUUUCUAGAGCUGCAUUGUGAUUAAUAACGAUAAUUGGGGGCAUUCGUACUUAACUGUCAGAAGUGAAAUUCUUGGAUUUGUUAAAGACGGAAUACUGCGAAAGCAGUUGCCAAGAAUGCUUUCAUUGAUCAAGGAUGAACGUUAGGGGAUCGAAGACGAUCAGAUACCAU